rnacentral:misc_RNA from 1 species
UCCCCACAAUACCGCAUGCCACUCAGACACGUGUUGCUGUCAAAAUCGACUUAUUUUUUGUGUGUGUCUCCCAAAAAACAAGGUGCGUAAACAGGUGUCAAAAAUGAGAGACAGAGACCCGGCAACAGAAACCACACCGUCUCUGCCUCUGUGCCUCUGUCUGUGGCAUAAACCAGAUCAACCAGACUUGUUGGUCAUGAUGUUUGCUUUUCGAAUGAAGGCGCAAAAAGUAACCAACAAAACCAAACAAAAAAAAAAAAUCAAAUAAAAUAAAUGUAAAUCAUUCGAGACGCCAAUUGACGGUUGAUAAAUUUCAACUACGCAUUAAGCUGCUCUAAUUGUUUGUAAUCCCACGAAACUCGUUUGAUCUUGUAGGCGCUAUACGGCUUUUCUAGUAGCGAUACACUACAUAACGAAACCAUGGCGACUUGCUGGUAGAGUACGGUAAUCAAGUAUAUUCCCAUACGUUUGCGUUGAAACAAAGUCUUCAGAGUUGAUUUUUGCAGAUGGCCUUCGCCCGAUGAUCACGAUUCCAACAGGUGGCAGGACGACGGCAAAUAAACAUUCCAUUAUGAAAUACUCAAGGCACAUUAAAUGCACUGCUGCUCUGUCUCGUUCAACCCGAAGAGAGCAAAACACGAACAAAAUGUUUGAGCAGUUAGCAAAGUCUAAUGCCAUAACCACACUUUACCAACACACUUUACCACACUUACUCUGCACUGGCCAUUUCCAACAGGUUGGCAGUUCUACGAUAUUAAAUUCGAUAUUUAAAAGUAAGACCAGGCAACACGCAAGCGAUAGUUGUCAUCUUUUAUUGUUGAUGUUUGCCUGUAAAAUUGAUCAAAACCAAAGCCAACAACUAGAACUAAAGAAAAAUUAUAGUUUUGUGUGCAUUUUUCAGUCCGAACUCUCGUUUCUAGAUAGCGAGCAUCUCCAAGUAAGUACUGCCCCUACAACAAUUUCUGCUGUUGGGCGUCCCGGAGCUGUUUGUUUUCAGAGAAUAUGUACAUAAAUCGUGUAUCAGAUCGUAUAUUUUCCUCAGAGCAGACAACUAAAAAGAUCGAGAUUGCCACCACAGUCGCAGAAGAGUACAAGAUGGAAACAGUCGAGCAGGAUAUGGAAAACAACACGCAGCGAUCAUCUUCGUCAUCAAAUCUUUCGUUGUUUUACGAACCAGAGUUGCCAAGUGACUGCAAUCGCUGCGGCAAGGUCAUAUCCAUACACGUGGAGAAUUUCAUGUUCCAUGAGAAUUUUAGGGUGGAGUUUGGACCCAACACAAAUUUUCUGGUGGGCAAAAACGGGAGUGGCAAAAGUGCCACGAUCACAGCCCUGACCGUGGGUCUGGGCGGCACCGCACGUGCCUCUAGCCGUGCGGCCAGCAUACCGAAGCUCAUCAAAAAAGGCGAAAGGGCAGCCAAAAUCGAAAUAACCCUGUGUAACAUUGGAUGGAACCGAUUCGAUGCGGAACAUAUGGGACCGGACUAUCUGACGGUGGUGCGGCACAUACGCCAAUCAUCCUCGACCUAUGAGCUAAAGGAUGCACGCGGUAGAAUCGUCUCGAGGAAAUUAGAUGAUGUUAAGCGCCUGCUGCGCCGCUUUUGCAUUCAUGUCGAGAAUCCCGUUUUUGUGCUCAACCAGGAGGCUUCACGGGAAUUUCUUAAAAAACUGGAGCCAAAGUCAAAUUUCACACUCCUGAUGAAGGCAACGCAGCUGGAUAUUUGUCUGAAUGCUCUCGAAGAAUGUCUUGUGAAACGCAAAAACCUACACCGAGCUCUGGAAAAACGCGAAAUCGUAUCUUAGUUUACUCUCAGUGCCAAUACGUUUCACAUUGCCACGGAGAAAGCAAAUAUCGGAACAACUGGUGGCCGCCGAGGAGGAAAAAUUAGCCACACUCAAUGAUAGGGCAGCAGUCAAGUUGAAGUUAGAAAAAGCCAGCACCCAUCUCGCUUGGCUGUCGGUGGGCCAGCAAGAGGAGAAGCUGGCCAACUGUGAGCAGAUGAUUCAACUGAUGGAAGCCAAGAAGGCCAAGCUGGAGGCAGCCCAAACCCAGGAGGACUCCACACAAGCCAAACUCAUGCUACAGUUGAGCAAAUUCGAGGAAAUGAAACAGCAGAUCCAAGAUGUCUACAAAAACGCACGAGACAGAGUUGCGUGAAGCCAUGACCUUAAUGCAGGAGCAUCUUUCCAAAGUCAGCAAUAUCCGAGAACAAAUGAAAAAUGCCGAAAAAAUCCUGAGCGAGGAGCAGCACGACUACGAAUAUUAUCGCGGCGACCAUGCCCGGAUUAGACAGAAACGCGAGGAGCACACGGCCAGAGCGGUGGAGCUCAAGCAGCUGAUCGCCGAUAGAGAGGCACUCGUUAAGCAGCUCCGAGAGGAGCAACUGGUGACCAAAGAACGAUCAGUGUCUUGCCGAAGUACAAGAGGCUACCCAAGAGAUGUUGGAAAUAGGAAACACCGAGCACCGGGAUCUGCCAGAAGAAGAUCGUCUGGUAAGUGCAUACCAACGUUUCAACUUGAAGUCGAACUACAUUUUGUU